rnacentral:rRNA from 1 species
AAGGGCACCACAAGAACGCGUGGAGCAUGUGGCUUAAUUUGACUCAACGCGGGAAAACUUACCGGGUCCGGACACACUGAGGAUUGACAGGCGACUUAAAUAUGCUAGUCCUUUCAUGAUUGUGUGAUAGGUGGUGCAUGGCCGUUCUUAGUUCGUGGAGUGAUCUGUCUGCUUAAUUGCGUUUCAGAUAUAAAGGGUCCAAUCGCGUAUACUAGCACGCAGAGCAAUCUGUGUUGUUCGGUUGAGCGUUGGCCCUAUGAAAGCAACAAACGUGACCGCAGCCCAUUGUUAAGGCCCUUUUUUGAGGCCUCAAACUAUGGGGACCGCCAGCCUUGUUAAGGUGGAGGAAGGUUGCGGCAAUAACAGGUCUGUGAUGCCCUUAGAUGUUCCGGGCUGCACACGUGCUACAAUGAUUGUUGCAGAAAGCAUCUAUUAUUGAUUUGUCGCCGUCAAACGCGACCACGUAGUUGCCCAAUUGUUCUGUGGUUCUACCAUUAUUUCAUUUGGUGCACACGUGCAACCUACCUCGAAAGUACGGUAGGCAAUCAAUUCCAAGUGACAAUCUCCCGCGCACAAAUCAAGUGUUCAAUGUUUAGGUUCGCCUAUUCGUUGUGACAUGUGCUCUAUAAAUUCGUGGUCGGGACAGACCAUUGCUAAUUUUUGGUCUCGGUCUCAACUAGGAAUGCCUUGUACGGGUCUUUGGUUCAACAAACCACCCGGAAUACGUCCCUGCCCUUUGUACACACCGCCCGUCGCUCUUACCGAUGGACUAUUCUGUGAGUUUGAGGGACCGUCCGCUAGGUAUUUAUACCUUUUGGUGGAAACUUAAACGAACAGUGUGGUCUAAAGGAAAGAGAAGUCG